UGAUAGCUGGUUAGUGCGCCAGGCUUUUCAAUCCCUGGGACCAUAAUCUUCUGUCGGGAAUUGCCGCUGGAAAAGUCGAGGCUUUUUUAUGUGAUGCCCACCUGUAAACCAGGUCACAGAGGAUGAAAUCAUGCCAGCGGCUUUUCCGGCUAUCAC
rnacentral:other from 1 species